CUAACCAGCAGGCUUCCAGGAGCGCCCAAGUCUCUUUCUAGCAAGCCUCUAGGGGCAGAGGUGGGUGGGACAGCAGCCUCUAACUGGUAAGACACAACUCCUGCUAACUCCUGGGCCUACUCUGGGCCUCAGCUUCUCUAACUGGGCUCUCCUGUAAUAAGUGUAGUGAGGUUCCAUGGCUGCAAGUGAGUGCAUAGCCCUGGCAUACUCAACAAGCUCCUGAAGCCACGCAGGAGACGGGCUUCAAAAGGAGACACUCCCUGUUUGGAAUGAGUGCGUUCUUCUACACAUGAAGUUCCCUGUGACCUAAGCAGCGUUUCAGACGCGUCUAGACACUUCAAGAACCCCUGGGAGCCUAGCGCCAGAUCCAGCACACACACGGGCUUAGGCAGACGUGGCUCCACGGGCACUUUUCUCUGAGAGGCAGGGGAAGUGCACUCCCCGUCUUCUCUGGGUGAUGAAGACAAAGAAACUCUGGACCACCCGCUGCCUCAACAACCUCAGAGAUUCUGACUCUAAAGAGCCCCCCUCCUGUAAGUCCUCCAGCGGCCACAGCCGGUUACGAGCACCCACAGGCGGCUGUCACCAAAAGAUCUCAUCAGAUGGCAAAACCAGAUGCUUCCCCAGAUGCCGUUCCGCAAGAUGGAGCUCUCUGGAGUGCUGGUUACUUCUGCGCCCAAGCCAGUGGGCUGUCUCUCCUGGAUGCCAAAUUAGGGAAGCACUCCCUGAUUAGUAUCCACGUGACCUGUGUUUCUCAGAAAUGCUAAGAACAUUCACUGUUUGGAUGAAGAACACAAUAUUUUUUUUUCUUUCACAUGCACUGGAUGACUUCACCGUGUUUACUGUCUUUGGUUUUGUUCCAAAGUGGUUGUAAAAGUUGGGCCUGAGAUGUGCAAACAUCAUUCUUGGUUGCUGUUUGUGCGCCUGGCUGAGUCCAAGUCCUUACAGGCAGUCCCUCCUGCCUCCCGUGUAUCCCUCACUCCCACCUCCCCCAACACCUAACUCUUCCUCCUUUCCCAAGGGCUCCCUCCCACCUCCCCCUCCUUUUCUCCACCUCCCCUGCCUCCCACCUCCUCUUCCCAUUCCACCCAUCUCUUGUCUCCUUCCUUCCACACGGCUCCUCCCCCGGCCCCCCUGGGCUCCCUUCCCUUCUGCUGAGUCCUCUCCUGGGAACUUCAGCUUUCCCCUCUCUUCAGAGCCAUCCCUAGUAGCCCCCAAGUAUCCUGCAAUUUUGUCCACUCUAAACCCCCCUCCCGUAACCCCCUAUCCCCGGCAAGCUUGCCUCCUGUUUUCUGCAAACGCCAGAGGAACUGCCCCUGCAAUCACUGCCAUUCUGCCACAAGCUGAUGCUGUCGUGGUCAAGGUCACCCAUGACUUCCUGGAGAUUAAGUCCCUUAAGCUGUCCUCUGGGGUGGGGAGGGGCAGCUCGGCCACAGUCCCCCCUCCUACUGCUGCCGGGCUCCCCAACAUCCCCUGGUUUCCUCUCUCUGCUGGCCCCACUUCUAGUCUCCCUCGGGUUCCUCCUGGGGCUCAGCGCCCAGUCCUGGCCUGGCCAUGUGCAACCUCACCACGUGGGGGCUUCUCCCUGAGCUGCAGCCCCCAUGGCUCCCGGACCGCAGGUUCCCGUCCCCCUGGGGCUGCGUGCAAAGGACUGCAGUUCUGAUGCCAGGGAUGCAGAUCUGUCUCCACCCGCCCCAGUGGCAUCGGUCCCCACCACCAGUGCUCAGGCAAAGGCCCUGGAGCUCUCCAUGACCCCCACGUCGUUCUCUCACAGCUGGGGCCAGGAAAUCUCAAUGCCUUGACUUUCAACACCUAUGCAGAAUCCAACGACACCUAACCUGCAGCCACACGGCCCCCGCCGCGGCCACCUUGCUUGUGUUACAGGAGGAGCCUCUGCCUGGCCCUCCUCUGCCCUGGCCCCUCACCUGGUGCACACAAGGCCAGGGGGGAUCCCUUCCGGAAUGUGGAGAGGCCUGGGGAUCUGCCCAACCGCCCACCUCCCUGUUCCUCCCCCUUGAGGUGCCACUCGGGUCCCCCUGCUGUCCCCUGAGGACACUCCUGCCUUGGUGCCCUCUCAUCUGCUGCCCCUGCCUGGAGACUCUUCCUCCAGACCCCACGUGGCUGGGCCUCAGCCUCCUCUGCUCUCGGAGAGGCCACCCGGCUCAAAUGGCAAGCAGCUCCUCCCUGCCACCCUGGGUCCACCCUGCACUCAACCCAUCUUUGCCUCAUGUUCUUUCUGGCUCCCCGGCUGGCAUGCCUACCCCGUGAGGGUGGCAUGCGUCCCCAGCUCCCACAGCAGGCACGGAGGGGCACCAGCCCAGGCCUGAGGAGUGAAGGGCUCCGAGGCUGCCCCUGCACAGUGGAGGGGAGAAGGGGCCUAGAGCUGCCCCACAGUCACCCUAACUCCCUCGGCCCAGGGGUCAUAGACUCACUAGUAGGAACGGU
rnacentral:lncRNA from 1 species